rnacentral:rRNA from 1 species
UACGGGGGGGGCAAGCGUUGUUCGGAAUUACUGGGCGUAAAGGGCUCGUAGGCGGCCAACUAAGUCGGACGUGAAAUCCCUCGGCUUAACCGGGGAACUGCGUCCGAUACUGGAUGGCUUGAGUUCGGGAGAGGGAUGCGGAAUUCCAGGUGUAGCGGUGAAAUGCGUAGAUAUCUGGAGGAACACCAAUGGCGAAGGCAGCCCCCUGGGAUAACACUGACGCUCAUGCACGAAAGCGUGGGGAGCAAACAGG